GACGAACGCUGGCGGCGUGCUUAACACAUGCAAGUCGAACGGAAAGGCCCUGCUUUUGUGGGGUGCUCGAGUGGCGAACGGGUGAGUAACACGCGAGUAACCUGCCCUUGACUUUGGGAUAACUUCAGGAAACUGGGGCUAAUACCGGAUAGGAGCUCCUGCUGCAUGGUGGGGGUUGGAAAGUUUCGGCGGUUGGGGAUGGACUCGCGGCUUAUCAGCUUGUUGGUGGGGUAGUGGCUUACCAAGGGUUUGACGGGUUGCCGGCCGGGGAGGGUGGCCGGGCACAAUUGGAGUUGAGAUACGGCCCAAACCCCUACGGGGGGCAGAGGGGGGGAAUUUUGCCAAAGGGGCGGAGGCCUAAUGCGACAACGCCGGGUGGGGGGGGACGGCCUUGGGGUUGUAAACCGUUUUCCCCUGGGGCGAAGGGUGGGUGCCGGAAAUGGGAAAAAAAGCCCGGGCUAACUCCGG
rnacentral:rRNA from 1 species